GACGAACGCUGGCGGCGUGCUUAACACAUGCAAGUCGAACGGAAAGGCCCUGCUUUUGUGGGGUGCUCGAGUGGCGAACGGGUGAGUAACACGUGAGUAACCUGCCCUUGACUUUGGGAUAACUUCAGGAAACUGGGGCUAAUACCGGAUAGGAGCUCCUGCUGCAUGGUGGGGGUUGGAAAGUUCCGGCGGUUGGGGAUGGACUCGCGGCUUAUCAGCUUGUUGGUGGGGUAGUGGCUUACCAAGGCUUUGACGGGUAGCCGGCCUGGGAGGGUGACCGGCCACAUUGGGACUGAGAUACGGCCCAGACUCCUACGGGGGGCAGCAGUGGGGAAUAUUGCACAAUGGGCGGAAGCCUGAUGCAGCAACGCCGCGUGCGGGAUGACGGCCUUCGGGUUGUAAACCGCUUUCGCCUGUGACGAAGCGUGAGUGACGGUAAUGGGUAAAGAAGCACCGGCUAACUACGUG
rnacentral:rRNA from 1 species